ensembl:lncRNA
UCUUCAGAGUAAAUGAAGUGGAAAAGGAACAAAAACUUACGCUUGAAUGUUAUUUACAUUUAUUUGGAUUAAGUAGAACAUAUUUAUUUCACCUUUUUCUCUGUUCCUCAAUGACUCCACAUCAGGAGGUUGUCUGGUGGGGCCAACGCGGAGGUGUAUUCUCUGGUGGUGCCAAAAGAGGACGCAAUUAAUCGAAGGACUACAGACAGUGCUGGAGGAAGGGGUCAUCGUCAAGGUUGACCGUUCACUUCAACCUCAGCUCCCUCUGUUAUUAUGAAUCCUCACAUGGCAAGAACAGCUUUGAUGACAGCAUAGACGGAGAGGUUAACAAGAUCUUAGAGGACUUCUUCAAUGCCCUAUCUACAGUGCACCUCUGUGUGCUUUGGUCCACAUUGCCCAUAUCAAAUGAAAUAAUAAAUAAAUGGCAUUUCUGGUGUUGUAUUUUUCUUGCAGUAUUUAUUGAUCCUUAUUUCAAUUAGAGUUUCCGAAUGUUAUUUACAUCUAAAAAUAAAUUACCUAUAGGCUAAUGUUAUUCAUGAUUAAGUAACCUAGUAUAGUUUUCAAUGGAAACAUAGUGACAUUUAAAUUCACAGCAUUUAAACAAGUUCUGUUCAUGUAUUUGAAGGUUUCUAUUGGAUCAUGUAGGGUAGCCUAAACAUAAUAUCAUGUGACUACACAUAUCUUUACGGAGAGCUUACGAACUACUAGCUUCCUCACCCAGAUGGAAAAAAGUACACUUCCAUAAUGUACUUAAAGUGCUCUAUUUUUGCACUCUAAUUUUGUACCUAAUAUACUAAAAAAUAUUCUUUAGUACUUCUUAAAAUAAACUUAAGAUCAUCUAAGUGUACUCAACUGUGCUAUUUUGAAAUACCAUGAAUAUGAACUAAAAUGCACUUUUAACAAACAUAGCACAGUAGAGUACACUUAGAUGAUCUUAAAUUUAUCUUAAUAAGUAUUAAAGAAUUUUUUUUUUGUAUAUUAAAUACAAAAUUAGUGCAUGGACAUAGAGCACUUUAAGUAUGAAAGUGCACUUUUUUUCACCUGGGUCCUGCCUUAUGAACAACUGGUGCAAUUGAAUAAUGUAUAGAUUUAGUGUAUAGAUUUAGUUACUAACUACCUUGCAGUUACUAAGCCUCUAGUGUGGACAUAACAUUCUAAUUUAAGUAAGAAGUAAUGAAUGGAGCACAAAAGAAAUAUUUUGAAAAAAACUGGGCUGCAAACAAUACUGGACCCUGUUGACUUUCAUCGUAAAAAAACAAAAAAAAAACAACAACCAAGACUUUUUUUCUGUGUUUGGUUGAAGAUGUUUGAAAUGACAUAAGGGUGAAAAAAUGAUGACAGAAUUUUCAUUUUUGUGAACUAUCCCUUUAAGCCAGAAUCCACUGAACAAACGUGACAGGCAUAGAAUGAUUUUUAUUUGAAAUGCAAAUGGAUACUUAAAAAGGAGAUGAUCCAUUUUCGGUUUGUUUAGCGUGAUCCAUUUUGUGCUGACUCAUAUUUUGGUGCAUUUUUGAAAGCCAAUAAACUAUGCUGAUUUUAUGCAUCGUGUAAACAUUGUGCAUAAUUUAGCGCAAGAAUCCAUAUCUGCGGAACCCAACAAAAGAUAGAUUGGCUGGGCACUUUAGCUGAUAGCACAUCAAAAUUAUAGCUUAAACAUGUUAUCCAAGCAUCAUACCAUCUGGCAUUCUCUCACCAUGUGAAAGAUAAAGCGCCAUUAGUAUGCACAGAGGUCACAGCACUUCAAAUACAUCUGCCGUGCACAAAGAUGAUUUUCACUAUGAAGCAUGAGGAAAGCCUAAUCAAUUGUUUUCAUAACAGUUCAUGACAGUUUUACCAUCCAUGAAAAAAAAAAAAGAUUUUUGGGAAGCAUUAGUGGUGUUGAAACAAGCAAGUUGUUCUGUUAGAAAGAGACAAAUAAACCUUUAACCUGAAGUCAAAGAUAAUACAGUAGACAUCUGCAAAUCAAUUUCAGACAUAGUUCAUUUUAAACGGCAUUGUAACCUGCCAAUUAAUAGCUCAAAUCAUUUAAUUCAAUUGUCAAACAGAAAUAGCUUGGACUAAAACUCAACUUCCACAUAAAGUCUAUAUUACUGGCAUUAGCUUCUUGGGCUCAAACAUAUAUUUUCCCAUUCCCAUUUUUAUGAUAAUAUUCAUCAGCAAUGACAAGCUUCUGCUCCCUUUUCCAAACUGAAAUUAGCCUUUACGUUAUAUAAUAGCUUGUAUCUUAG